UACGAAGGGGGCUAGCGUUGUUCGGAUUUACUGGGCGUAAAGCGCGCGUAGGCGGGUUCUCAAGUCAGGGGUGAAAUCCCAGGGCUCAACCCUGGAACUGCCUUUGAUACUGGGAGCCUGGAGUUCGGGAGAGGUUGGUGGAAUUCCGAGUGUAGAGGUGAAAUUCGUAGAUAUUCGGAGGAACACCAGAAGCGAAGGCGGCCAACUGGCCCGAAACUGACGCUGAGGCGCGAAAGCGUGGGGAGCAAACAGG
rnacentral:rRNA from 1 species